AGGCCUUAACUCCAAUUUCAGAGUAUUUGUGACACAUAUGUAAAUAUUUAGUAGAGAUAUCUUAGAGUUUGAAAGUACAAUUCUAAGUAUAAAUCUUUAAAAAUUAAGUAUACAUCAAGAUGUCCACACACAUGUUCAGUUGCAAAUGAAUGACUUUAUUAAUGAGACUCUUUAGACAAUGUACUUCGUUUAAAUGAAGAUGUACUUCUAACAUAAUCUGUCCGUUAUAACUUGAGUCAUACAGUCAAUACAUUUAAACAAAUGACAAGGUAAAUCCUUAUGUUAAAUAUAAGAUAAUCACCACUUUCAUUUAUUAUUUUCUAAUAUAAAAUAGGCUUACCUAAAACAAACCUGAAAAGUUUGAACUCUGCAAGUAGAUACAGUUCUCUUUCACAAUCUACUAGAAUAAUCAUUCCCUAUAUUAUUCAAUCUGACUUUUUAGUUUCCUCAUCUUCUUUUUUAUCCAUUCAAAGUUUUAUGCUAAACAAAAACUAUAUGAAUAGGUUCAAACCUGUUAAAAGUGCACACCGAUGAAGAUCUUCACUUACAAAUUUCAUGAACAUAUCCUCAUCCUAAAAUAAGAAUUUAAAAAUAUUUCUCUUUUAAAAACCAACAGUUUUCAAAUCCAGAAUUUUUUUACAUCUAUUUUAGUACUUGGGAUUGAGUAUAUGUCUUUAACCUUUAAUAAACGAGAAAAUUAAAGGAUUAUUAUCAGCUACUGGUCUCAAUGCACCCAACACUUCAAAUAUCCUGAAACCUUAAAGUUUGCAUCUUUCAUUCCUCCUCUUCCACUGGGUGUGGUCAUAAUAAUGACUUUAUGGAAGGAAUAAAGUUUAAAGAUUCUUGAUAAACCCGGGAAAACUAUUUAAAUUAAGAAUAAAAUUGGCCGGGCGUGGCGGCUCAUGCCUGUAAUCCCAGCACUUUGGGAGGCCAAGGCGGGUGGAUCACCUGAGGUCAGAAGUUUGAGACCAGCCUGGCUAACAUGGUGAAACCCCGUUUCUACUAAAAAUACAAAAAAAAUUAGCCAGGCAUGGUGGCACAUGCCUGUAAUCCCAGCUACUCGGGUGGCUGAGGCAGAAUCGUUUGAACCCAGGAGGCAGAGGUUGCAGUGAGCCGAGAUCGCGCCAUUGCACUCCAGCUUGAGCAACAAGAGCGAUCUCAAACUCUGGCUCAAGAAAAAAAAAAAAAUUAAAUUAACAAAAAGAAAAACACAGAAAGCCAUAAAUCCUUUAAAUAGCUAAAGUAAGCUUUAAGAGCUUAUUUCGGGACAUUAGUUUACAUACAUAAUUUAUACUUUAAUAAAAUUUGAAGGAAAUCUCGCAGCCUAUGUAGUAGAAAAAGACUAAAGAAUUUUAAAUACUACGUUUUUCCCCCUUUUUCUUCUUCCAUGUCUCUUCCUUUAUGACAUCAGAGCCACAAUAAACUGUUAUGGUGAUACACAAUAAGGUUAGAACACGGUGGUUCUACUAUGAUUCAUACUACGAUGUAACACAAUCCAAUCAGCA
rnacentral:lncRNA from 10 species